UUCUUGAACACAUAAAAGACCAAUGUGUAUGCAUCUCAAGAUCU
rnacentral:sRNA from 1 species